CUCUGUAGCCUGUGGACAGAAUGGCAGCUGGCUCCUGAUUGUCAGAACCACCUAAAUGCAGUGGUGAGGCCGGAGCUUCAGGGUGACGUGCUGAGAAGGGGCUAAAAGCUUGGUGAUAAACCCCCCAGAGCUUACCAUUACCUCACACCCUGGACAGCAUCUGGCCAUUGCCCGCCCUGAGAAGCUGCACCACCUGCCCCUCCCAGCUGUGAAAUCUCCAGCCUCGGCCUCUGUGUCUGUCAGCUGGAUUUCCUCGAGCCUCUCAUGGGGACUGGGGGUCUCCACCCGCCCCUACCAUCCAGGCUGUGUGCCCUUGGACAAGGGGCUCCCUCUCCAAGCCUCUUGUUUCUCCUCCUUGAAAUAAGAAUACUAACUAGGAAAACUAACAGAAUGUCCGGGGUUUUGUCAGGAUGACUUGAGUCACCGAGCUCCGUCUUACAGCAGCUGAUACUGUCAUUGCUACUCCGUAUUCAUGAAAGUCCGUUUAAUGUCGUUUCCAGCAGAACUAGAAUGCGAGCCACGUAGGUCACUUAGAUCUUUCUUAAAAAGUGAAAAUAAACUAGUGCAAGUGAUUUUAAUGUCACUUAACCUGAUACAUCUCAAAUGUUUCAACGUGUGGCACUGGCCACAUUUCAAGGGCUCAGUGGUCACUUGUGGCCCGUGGCGACUGUAUUGGACCGUGCAGGCAGAGGAAUACAUGCAAACAUGCUUCAGGCUGGAGAAAUCAAGAGACUUCCCACCGGAGGGAGUAUCAGCACUGGACACCGAAAGAUGAGCCAAGGCCCAGAGAAGUUGCGAGCAAGCAGCCUGCACACGAGCUAUAAAAAGAAGUACUUAGAAGGUGAGUAGGGAACAGGAAUGAUCCCCAAUGCCAAGUACAGGGUGAGUGAGAGGGAGGGAGGGAACAGGGUGAAGAAGACGGGAAGGCAAGGGCAAGGGGAGGAUGAGGAGGUGGAGGAGGUGAAUCCUAUAUGGAGAUCAUCUGCAGCUUUAAAAGAGCUGCAUCCUGCUGCUGCUUAAGAUGCUCAGCCUGCUGUCGCCCUGGUAACGAGAGAAAAAUCAC
rnacentral:lncRNA from 1 species